UACGUAGGGGGGCAAGCGUUGUCCGGAUUUAUUGGGCGUAAAGAGCGUGUAGGCGGCCAGGUAGGUCUGCUGUGAAAACUCGAGGCUCAACCUCGAGAUGUCGGCGGAAACCAUCUGGCUAGAGUCCGGAAGAGGAGAGUGGAAUUCCUGGUGUAGCGGUGAAAAUGCGCAGAUAUCAGGAAGAACACCAAUGGCGAAAGCAGCUCUCUGGGACGGUACUGACGCUGAGACGCGAAAGCGUGGGGAGCGAACAGG
rnacentral:rRNA from 1 species